GAUGAACGCUGGCGGCGUGCCUAAUACAUGCAAGUCGAGCGAACGGACGAGAAGCUUGCUUCUCUGAUGUUAGCGGCGGACGGGUGAGUAACACGUGGAUAACCUACCUAUAAGACUGGGAUAACUUCGGGAAACCGGAGCUAAUACCGGAUAAUAUUUUGAACCGCAUGGUUCAAAAGUGGAAGACGGUCUUGCUGUCACUUAUAGAUGGAUCCGCGCUGCAUUAGCUAGUUGGUAAGGUAACGGCUUACCAAGGCAACGAUGCAUAGCCGACCUGAGAGGGUGAUCGGCCACACUGGAACUGAGACACGGUCCAGACUCCUACGGGAGGCAGCAGUAGGGAAUCUUCCGCAAAGGGCGAAAGCCUGACGGAGCAACGCCGCGUGAGUGAUGAAGGUCUUCGGAUCGUAAAACUCUGUUAUUAGGGAAGAACAUAUGUGUAAGUAACUGUGCACAUCUUGACGGUACCUAAUCAGAAAGCCACGGCUAACUACGUG
rnacentral:rRNA from 1 species